rnacentral:rRNA from 1 species
UACGUAGGGUGCAAGCGUUAUCCGGAAUUACUUGGGCGUAAAGGGUGAGUAGGCGGCAAUACAAGUCAUAUGUGAAAGGCCUGGUCUUAAGCCGGGAAGUGCAUAAGAAACUGUAUAGCUAGAGUACAGGAGAGGUAAGCGGAAUUCCUAGUGUAGCGGUGAAAUGCGUAGAUAUUAGGAGGAACACCAGUGGCGAAGGCGGCUUACUGGACUGAAACUGACGCUGAGUCACGAAAGCGUGGGGAGCAAACAGG